rnacentral:rRNA from 1 species
UACGUAGGGGGCAAGCGUUGUCCGGAAUCAUUGGGCGUAAAGAGCGCGUAGGCGGCCCAGUAAGUCCGCUCUGAAAGUCAGGGGCUCAACCCCUGGAUGCGGGUGGAUACUGCUGGGCUAGAGUCCGGAAGAGGUGAGUGGAAUUCCUGGUGUAGCGGUGGAAUGCGCAGAUAUCAGGAGGAACACCGAUGGCGAAGGCAGGUCACUGGGCCGCAACUGACGCUGAGGAGCGAAAGCAUGGGGAGCGAACAGG